rnacentral:rRNA from 1 species
GGUCAAGCUACAAAGGGCGCAUGGUGAAUGCCUUGGCAUCAGGAGCCGAUGAAGGACGCGAUAAGCUGCGAUAAGCUUCGGGUAGACGCACAUAGUCAGAGAUCCGAAGAUUUCCGAAUGAGGAAACUCACAUGGGAAACCCCAUGUAUCAUAAAGUGAAUACAUAGCUUUAUGAAGGUAUACCCAGGGAACUGAAACAUCUAAGUACCUGGAGGAAGAGAAAGAAAAAUCGAUUUUCUUAGUAGCGGCGAGCGAAAAGGAAAGAGCCCAAACCAGAGAUUUAUCUCUGGGGUUGCGGACAGAACAUAACGAGAAAUCAUAGUUAAUUGAACACAACUGGAAAGUUGGACCACAGUGGGUAAUAGUCCCGUAAGUGAAAACUAUGAUAAUCAGUUCUGCACCAGAGUACCACGAGACACGUGAAACCUUGUGGGAAGCAGGGAGGACCACCUCCCAAGGCUAAAUACUACCUGAUGACCGAUAGUGAAGCAGUACCGUGAGGGAAAGGUGAAAAGAACCCCGGGAGGGGAGUGAAAUAGAACCUGAAACCAUGUGCCUACAACCGAUCAGAGCACCUUAUGUGUGUGAUGAUGUGCUUUUUGUAGAACGAGCCAACGAGUUACGGUAUGUAGCGAGGUUAAGUACUUAAGGUACGGAGCCGAAGGGAAACCGAGUCUUAAUAGGGCGACUAGUUGCAUGCUGUAGACCCGAAACCGGGUGACCUAUCCAUGGCCAGGUUGAAGCGAGGGUAAAACCUCGUGGAGGACCGAACCACGUUGCUGUUGAAAAAGCAUGGGAUGAGCUGUGGAUAGCGGAGAAAUUCCAAUCGAACUCGGAUAUAGCUGGUUCUCCUCGAAAUAGCUUUAGGGCUAGCGUCGGAAAAUGUGAGUAGUGGAGGUAGAGCACUGAAUAGGCUAGGGGGCAUAGCGCUUACCGAACCUUAUCAAACUCCGAAUGCCACAUACUAUCAGUCCGGCAGUCAGACUAUGAAAGAUAAGUUCCAUGGUCAAAAGGGAAACAGCCCAGAUCGUCAGCUAAGGUCCCAAAGUGUAAGUUAAGUGGAAAAGGAUGUGGGAUUUCUAAGACAACUAGGAUGUUGGCUUAGAAGCAGCCACUCAUUAAAAGAGUGCGUAAUAGCUCACUAGUCAAGAGAUCCUGCGCCGAAAAUGUCCGGGGCUCAAACUUACCACCGAAGCUACGGGUUCACGCUUAUGCGUGAGCGGUAGAGGAGCGUCGUAAUCGGGCUGAAGUCGUACCGUAAGGAGCGGUGGACUGAUUACGAGUGAGAAUGUUGGCAUUAGUAGCGAGAUGUAGGCGAGAAUCCUACAGGCCGAAUAUCUAAGGUUUCCUGAGUAAAGUUUGUCUUCUCAGGGUUAGUCGGGACCUAAGGCGAGGCCGAAAGGCGUAGUCGAUGGACAAUUGGUUGAUAUUCCAAUACCACUAUAAUCGUUAUUAUCGAUGGUGUGACGGAGAAGGAUAGGAUGUGCUAGCUAUUGGAUGCUAGUCUAAGCGUUUAGGGAGUUGGGAUUGGCAAAUCCGUUCCAACAAUUCUGAGGCGUGAUGGGGAAGGUUCUACGGAACCGAAGUAUCUGAUUCCAUGCUUCCAAGAAAAGCAUCUAGAGAGAGAAGUAGUGCCCGUACCGCAAACCGACACAGGUAGAUGAGGAGAGAAUCCUAAGGCCGACGGAAGAAUUGCAGUUAAGGAACUAGGCAAAUUGACCCCGUAACUUCGGGAGAAGGGGUGCCUGAGAAA